AGGAUCAACGCUGGCGGCGUGCAUGAGACAUGCAAGUCGAACGGACGAUCAAAGCUUGCUUUGAUCGUUAGUGGCGGACGGCUGAGUAACGCGUAGGUGACCUGCCCCGAAGUGGGGAAUAACUGCCCGAAAGGGUGGCUAAUACCGCAUGUGGUGGUGCGUUCAAUCGCACCAGUAAAGCCGCAAGGCGCUUCGGGAGGGCCUGCGUCCGAUUAGCUCGUUGGCGAGGUAGCGGCUCACCAAGGCGACCGAUCGGUAGGUGGUCUGAGAGGACGAUCACCCAGACUGGGACUGAGACACCGGCCCAGACUCCGUACGGGAGGCAGCAGUCGGGAAUUUGCGCAAGUGGGACGAAACGCCUGACGCAGACACGCCG
rnacentral:rRNA from 1 species